GCCAUUUAAAAACAAACAUACUCCUUUCCCGCAAAAGAUAUUUCUUCAAAAGGCUAGAUCUGGCCAGUUUCACACAAUACCUGCAUUCAGAGACUGGAUCUCCCUGGUUCUUUCCGUGGUUAAAAUGGGAAGAAGGAAGCCUGGGAGGAACUGAGCCCCUCAGGUGUGGAGAGGGGCUACCAUCAGAAGGGGCAAUGUCUGUCCAGGCCACAGGCCUGGUAACAGAGCACUGGAGACCUACCCAUGAUUUGAAUGUUGGAAUCAUGGUCCAAGUAGGAAACGAUACAAAAAGUUGAUGAUAAAAGAAAUACAUGUAAGAUGAUUGAUUGCACUGUGAAAUACAUGCGGUAUUAAGAUGU